rnacentral:rRNA from 1 species
GACGAACGCUGGCGGCGUGCUUAACACAUGCAAGUCGAACGGAAAGGCCUCUUUCGGGGGGUACUCGAGUGGCGAACUGGUGAGUAACACGUGUGUAACCUGCCCUUUACUUUGGGUUAACUUCAGGAAACUGGGGCUAAUACCGGAUAGGAGCUCCUGCUGCAUGGUGGGGGUUGGAAAGUUUCGGCGGUUGGGGAUGGACUCGCGGCUUAUCAGCUUGUUGGUGGGGUAGUGUCUUACCAAGGCUUUGACGGGUAGCCGGCCUGAGAGGGUGACCGGCAACAUUGGGACUGAGAUACGGCCCAGAGUCCUACGGGAGGCAGCAGUGGGGAAUAUUGCACAAUGGGUGGAAGCCUGAUGCAGCAACGCCGUGUGCGGGAUGACGGCCUUCGGGUUGUAAACCGAUUUCGCUCAUGACGAAGCUUUGUGUGACGGUAGUGGGUAAAGAAGCACCGGCUAACUACGU